ensembl:lncRNA
GUAAGCGCGCUGUUGUCCACCGAGAACUUGUGUAGAAUAUGGAGAGAAAACGUAGAGGAGAAGAAGGAAAGUGACACAUUGUCUCUGCGUGGCGCUGUGGGCCGCCGAAGUGUUGAUUUGGCUCGUUCGUUGGCGUUGUUCCCUCAUUUAAAACUUUUUUUUUUGCAUUGUUUUAUGAAAUAAACUGUUUAAAAAAAACUUUUUUUUGCAGUUUUUCUCAAAAGGGCAAAAAACGCCUACAACGAAGAGCUGCAUGUUAAAUAUUUUCUAUCCAUCAAUUUCAUAAUUUAAUUAAUUGGGAGUGACUGGUAAAACAUUUUUUACAGUGUAUUUAUUUUUAACUUUUAAUGAAUCCUUGCCAGCAUGCACACCCCGUGUGUUUACUUGUAUUUGGCAGGUUAGUCUGUAGGGUCACUUUCCUUUUGGAUGACUGGAUUUACACUUCUGUGUCAGCUCAGUGGGGGGGGCGCGCUUCCAACUGGUCCUCAGUUUAGCUUCAUGCUAAUUCACAAGCUUCAGGUCGGGCUCAUUCAAAGUGGCAAAGCUUCAUUCUCAUGUGCUACUCUCCCAAGUUCGACUUUUACUUUGUGUCAGCCAUGUUGGCAUCUUCACAGCGGGGGGCCCAAGAUGGAGACCACGUCUAGGGUUUCAUUGUCGUGGACACAUUGACAGCUGCUGCAUCGGUCUUCCCUCCUCGCUGACUGGCAGGAGAUCCCCUGCUGCAGGAGGGUCGGCAGGAGAGAGACCGUAAGGUGACGACAGGAAGGCGGAACCAGGAGGAGGAGGAAAGCAAUACUGAUUUUUAAUUGGCUGUUUGGGGUUCGGUACACCGUGUACCCAGUAAAUGUUUAUGGGCCUGUUGCAGGCUGAUUGACAUCCUUGCAGGUUUUCUAUUAAUCUCAAUUCGGAGAGAGCCGGUGGAAAUACAUUUGCAUCUUAUUUUUACAUGCUUCAGUUUUGUCUAUGAAAGAAGAAUUGCCAUCUCUGUGUCUGCAGCUGAUGUGUUGAAACGUGGUUAAAAGUUUUCCACAUGUGGGGGAAACGCCCUCUUGCUUUUAUAGCAGGUACGCAGAUACACCUGAAUAGUUCCCGAAUGACUCAGCAGCACUCCUGCAGCCUCGGUGAGCCACCGCUAAACGCAAGAAACAGCUGCUGGGAAGGACAACGCGGUCCAAGUUAUCUCUGCUUUGAGUCUCGAGUGGGGCUUCCGAAAACACUGGCGCCUCAAUCUCCCACAAUGCACCUCCCAGGAGUUGGGUGUAUCUGGCCCAACGUGCUCGCGUGCUUCAAACCUCUCAGCGCCGUCUGCUGCGAUCCCUUUCUCGUCGAUCAGAUGCCAAUGAUUUUAGUGGAAGGUGUGACCGAACUUGACAAAGCCCAGAUGUCCCGGUGACUCUUUUGUGCGACACGAUUGUCAGUCGCUAUAAAAACAAAGCGCGUGCAGCUUAGUCCCAACUGUGAACUCAAACCUGCGUGCUGUUGAAGCUUGUAUCAAAGAUUCAUGGUGAAUUACUUUAUAUAACACUGAUGGCCACUGUAGGAAACAAACGGCACAACAAAAACCGAUAAAAGAAGCUCGUUCUCCUCCGUCGCUGUAAUGUGGAUGCUGCUCAGGUUCCCGGCGGACGGUCCUGAGGUCUGAGGCAUCUGAUUCCUGCUCCAGCUGGGAUUAAAUGGACGCAUCAGGCCGGUUACGUAACGCUGCUCUCUGCCAUGCAGCCUGCUUGGUGGAAGCCGCUGUCACGCAGCAUCGCUCUGUGGGCAUGAUUCCUGUUUUUGCAUGGACUCGAUGGGGCAAUCGUAUAUGAAUCUUCACAAAGGGCUUUUUCCUGUUUUUGGAAGGAGGAGGAGGAGGGUGUGUUUUGGGGAGAGCAACCCACUGAGAGUAAUGCAUGUGGACAGCGUAUGUGUUUUUGAAAGUGGGCGUGUGCUGAAGGCGAGCCCACGGGUCGGGUUGGGUGAGAGCGGAGCCGUAUAAAAGGCGCAGAAGCUCUCGGUAGCUCACGCUUCGUCUCUCUGUGGCAUCUGUCGGGGUUUCCAGCGUGGUCGGGAAGUGGAAGGUCCCGCUGGUCGGUUUUUUUCGGCCCGCCAUCCUCUCCUCCCCCCCCCCGUUACCUUUCUUCCGCCGAUCACAUCGGCCCCUGGAAGGUGAGGAAUCCCGAAUUCACGAAAUAAGGGGCGACUUUUCCCACCAGGAGUAACUUUGAAAGCUUGGAUCUCGUGUCUCUCGUUAGACCAGCUUGGCCUUCUUUCUUUUUUUUUUUUUUUUCUUUUUCCUUUAAUGGUUCACAUGUUUUUUACCUGAUCUUCUUCCUUCCUGAAACCUCGAACACAAACGUUGUCCGUUUCCUCUGAAUGUGACUUCCCCUCUUUAUGAAGCGAGCAUCUGUUUGGGUUUGUCUCUACAAAGUCCUCAAUCUGCUUCAGACAGGACUGCCCCCCCCCCAACCCGCCCCACUAUUAAUUGUCUUCUCCCUGCUGGGUACUUUUUGUUCUUUCGCACCACAUCUGGAUGGACGUCCGUCCCUCGGUGUGUCCUUCGGUGGCCCCGUCUGGUGUCCAGCAAAUCGUUGGAGGCGCAUUUUUCCUCAGCAGUUUAGACUCGUCCCCGUUUGAACCAGGACGAUUGUCCCUUCCGCUGCGUGGCUGCGUGGCUUCGUGGCGCAGCAUGAAUAGAGGCUGUGUUGCUUUGGGGCAAACAUGACUGUUUGAUAACGGGGGCGUUUUGGGAGGAAAUGGUCUUGUGAGCACUUGUUCGGUUUCUCUACUCGUAUCGAUCAGCACAUGGUCGUGUGGUUCCCUGCAGACGAGAGAUGCCCCCCCCCAUCCCCCCCUUUAGCGAUCAGAUGGCUUAUUAUUUUUAUUUUUUUAAAUACUCGAAAUAAUGACUCUUUUUUUAGUUUUUUCUAUCUUAAAUUCCGCGAAGUCGCUAAGCGACGUCUGUUUUCUCGGCAGGUCUUGAAAGCUCUUCCCUCCGUUUGGCCCCCGCCUCACACCAACCGACAAUGAUCAUCCGACUGGGCCGACUGACACCCGGAUACUUCCGUCUCCUCCAGGCAAGUCGCCGGGGAGGUGCAGACGCAGCCGCGGGACCGCGCCGUCAACCAGCUGGCCAUGAUGCUGGCCAUCAUGGGCCUGAGUUUGUCCUACUACAGCGCCAAGCAGAUGACGGAGGACGUCCGCGCGCAGCCCGCGCCCUGAGGACACUCGCCCAGCCCGCUCGCGGAGAAGACGGGCGAGCCGAUGGGGGUAGAAGGAGGCGGGAGAAGGGGGGGUGUGGACUGGUUUGGGUGGGCGAUCAUAACCAGCCGACUGGCACCUGGGUCUGACCACUAGUCUCUUACAAAGGUACAUGCCUGCAAGAUGCCGUCAAUACUGUCCUGAGCGACGAAAAAGGGGACGCUCAUUUUGCCAGUUCUUCAAAGAGCGUCAAAUAAAAGCACAGUAAUGCCUUUGUUUUAAGCGAUGGGCUGACUGCAGUUGAGAUGUACCUUGUAAUGAAGUGAUGGCCGGCUCACAACAAGGCGGAAGGGGGCUAAUAAGUUAGCACAACACACUUUCUUUUUUUUGUUCUUCAUUAGAGAACCGUACAGAUCCAGAGCUUAAUUCAAAAACCGUCAAUGUGUAGAAAUGCUUGUAAAAUGUUUCUGUGUGGUGUCAGGUUCAUUUGAGUAGAUGUGCAAUAGUGCAGAAACAUUUUCUUUGAGUGCUACAUUGGCUCCUCAAAGGGACUUUAAGCAACUCCUCUUUUUAUGUUUGAUUGUUUUUUUUGAUCUCACACUACCGUAAAUCAAAGUCCCGUUGAGAUGAAUGACUACCUGUUUUCUUAAAGCACACUGAUUGAGAAACCUUCCUGCGAUCUCAUUCUACAUGCAGACCUUUUAACUUUAACUGAACAUUGCAUGUUUGUGCAGACUUUUAAUCGAGCGACAAUCUUGUUUUUAAAUGAUGGAUGAAUGUAUUACUCUGUGAAAGAUUUAAUAAAGCUGUGAACAUCUUGAAUGCGA